CCGGGUGUGGCGAAGCUUGGUAUCGCGCUUGGUUCGGGUCCAAGAGGCCGUGGGUUCAAAUCCCGCCACUCGGACCA
rnacentral:tRNA from 20 species